AGCGAACGCUGGCGGCAGGCCUAACACAUGCAAGUCGAACGAACCCUUCGGGGUUAGUGGCGGAUGGGUGAGUAACACGUGGGAACGUGCCUUUAGGUUCGGAAUAACUCAGGGAAACUUGUGCUAAUACCGAAUGUGCCCUUCGGGGGAAGGAUUUAUCGCCUUUAGAGCGGCCCGCGUCUGAUUAGCUAGUUGGUGAGGUAAUGGCUCACCAAGGCUACGAUCAGUAGCUGGUCUGAGAGGAUGACCAGCCACAUUGGGACUGAGACACGGCCCAAACUCCUACGAGGGGCAGCAGUGGGGAAUCUUGCGCAAUGGGCGAAAGCCUGACGCAGCCAUGCCGCGUGGAUGAUGAAGGUCUUAGGAUUGUAAAAUCCUUUCACCGGUGAAGAUAAUGACUGUAGCCGGAGAAGAAGCCCCGGCUAACUUCGUGCCAGCCGCCGCCGUAAUAC
rnacentral:rRNA from 1 species